rnacentral:misc_RNA from 1 species
GAAAUGCGAUAAGUAAUGUGAAUUGCAGAAUUCAGUGAAUCAUCGAAUCUUUGAACGCACAUUGCGCCUAUUAGUAUUCUAGUAGGCAUGCCUGUUUGAGUAUCAUGAAAUCUUCAAAGUAAAUCUUUUGUUAACUCAAUUGGUUUCUACUUUGGUAUUGGAGGUCUUUGCAGCUUCACACCUGCUCCUCUUUGUUCAUUAGCUGGAUCUCAGUGUUAUGCUUGGUUCCACUCGGCGUGAUAAGUUAUCUAUCGCUGAGGACACUGUAAAAGGUGGCCAAGGUAAAUGCAGAUGAACCGCUUCUAAUAGUCCAUUGACUUGGACAAUACUUUUAUGAUCUGAUCUCAAAUCAGGUAGGACUACCCGCUGAACUUAAGC